UCGUCAAAGAUUUGAAGUGUGAAAGAAAUCCUGCUGUGGAAGGAAAAAAUCAAGAUUUGAAAUCAAAGUUUUGCUGCUGUGGUUGUCAAAUUUUACGGAAAGGGAGUUUGAUUAGUGAAUAGGUGUGUGCUUGUGAUUUUUUCUGAAUAUAUAUAGAAUGUUCAGAGAAAUACUUGUAGUUGUAGAGAUGUAAAAACAGGAAAUGAUAAAUUGUACUGAAAUAGAAAUUUCAUAGAUUGAAAAUUAAUACCAUGUUGAUUGAUCUGCAGUUAGAGAGAAAAACUUGGUUAUCUCGAAGUAUAGUUUUUGCUUUGUAAAAUUU
rnacentral:lncRNA from 1 species